rnacentral:tRNA from 1 species
UGGAGUGUAGUUCAGUGGUAGAACACAUGCCUAGCAUGUUCAUACCCUGGUUCAAUCACCAGCACUGCAC